UGUCGGUCAGCUCGUGUCGUGAGAUGUUGGGUUAAGUCCCGCAACGAGCGCAACCCUUGUCUUUAAUUGCCAUCAUUCAGUUGGGCACUUUAAAGAGACUGCCGGUGUUAAGCCGGAGGAAGGUGGGGAUGACGUCAAGUCCUCAUGGCCUUUAUGUCCAGGGCUACACACGUGCUACAAUGGCGCAUACAGAGGGCAGCGAAGCCGUGAGGUGGAGCGAAUCUUGUCAAAGUGCGCCUCAAUUCGGAUUGCAGUCUGCAACUCGACUGCAUGAAGUUGGAAUCGCUAGUAAUCGCGGAUCAGCAAAGCCGCGGUGAAUACGUUCCCGGGCCUU
rnacentral:rRNA from 1 species